rnacentral:rRNA from 1 species
GAUGAACGCUGGCGGCGUGCCUAAUACAUGCAAGUCGAGCGAACAGACGAGGAGCUUGCUCCUCUGACGUUAGCGGCGGACGGGUGAGUAACACGUGGAUAACCUACCUAUAAGACUGGGAUAACUUCGGGAAACCGGAGCUAAUACCGGAUAAUAUAUUGAACCGCAUGGUUCAAUAGUGAAAGACGGUUUUGCUGUCACUGAUAGAUGGAUCCGCGCCGCAUUAGCUAGUUGGUAAGGUAACGGCUUACCAAGGCAACGAUGCGUAGCCGACCUGAGAGGGUGAUCGGCCACACUGGAACUGAGACACGGUCCAGACUCCUACGGGAGGCAGCAGUAGGGAAUCUUCCGCAAUGGGCGAAAGCCUGACGGAGCAACGCCGCGUGAGUGAUGAAGGUCUUCGGAUCGUAAAACUCUGUUAUUAGGGAAGAACAAAUGUGUAAGUAACUAUGCACGUAUUGACGGUACCUAAUCAGAAAGCCACGGCUAACUACGUG